rnacentral:lncRNA from 1 species
CAAUGCAGUCUGCAUGGUAUCUUUUGUUGGCUUGACAUCAAACAAAUUCUGUCUUUUCUUUGAGAAUUUGGAUAUAUGAUUCAUCUGAGAAACAAAUCUGCAAAAAAUAUUUUCUUAGUAAUCUAUUUAUUUCUUCAUAUUUUGUUAAUGUUUUUAUGUUCUACCUACCUUGCCCCAGUCUUCUUCUAUCCAAUGUCAGUAGUUUUUAGCAAAAGUCAUUCGUUUUGCUUCAUUAGGAGCAUCAAUUUGGAUUUCUUUAAUGGCCGGCAACAUUUGAAUUCCAUUUCUGCAAACUUUCUUCUCAAAGUUCUUUCAGAUAAAAAGAUUGUGAGGAGUCGGAGUUGGAUUUUCCGUACCUGGUGUGGGCGGCCAUGUUGAAGUGGAUGGACUUAAUUAAGU